AUUGAACGCUGGCGGCAGGCCUAACACAUGCAAGUCGAACGGUAACAGGAAACAGCUUGCUGUUUCGCUGACGAGUGGCGGACGGGUGAGUCACGCGUGGGUAACCUGCCUCAUACAGGGGGAUAACAGUUAGAAAUGACUGCUAAUACCGCAUAAGACCACAGCACCGCAUGGUGCAGGGGUAAAAACUCCGGUGGUAUGAGAUGGACCCGCGUCUGAUUAGGUAGUUGGUGGGGUAACGGCCUACCAAGCCGACGAUCAGUAGCCGACCUGAGAGGGUGACCGGCCACAUUGGGACUGAGACACGGUCCAGACUCCUACGGGAGGCAGCAGUGGGGAAUAUUGCACAAUGGGCGCAAGCCUGAUGCAGCCAUGCCGCGUGUAUGAAGAAGGCCUUCGGGUUGUAAAGUACUUUCAGCGGGGAGGAAGGGAGUAAAGUUAAUACCUU
rnacentral:rRNA from 1 species